rnacentral:rRNA from 1 species
GGCGGACGGGUGAGUAACGCGUAAAGAACUUAGCCCUUUAGACUGGGAGUAACAGAGGGAAACUUCUGAUAAUACUGGAUAAGUUAGUAUAUCGCAUGAUAUGCAAAUGAAAGCUACGGCACUAAAGGAGAGCUUUGCGUCCUAUUAGCUAGUUGGUAAGGUAAGAGCUUACCAAGGCGAUGAUAGGUAGCCGGCCUGAGAGGGUGGACGGCCACAAGGGGACUGAGAUACGGCCCUUACUCCUACGGGAGGCAGCAGCU